AUUGAACGCUGGCGGCAUGCCUUAUACAUGCAAGUCGAACGGUAACGCGGGGCAACCUGGCGACGAGUGGCGAACGGGUGAGUAACGCAUCGGAACGUACCCAGUAGUGGGGGAUAGCCCGGCGAAAGCCGGAUUAAUACCGCAUACGACCUACGGGUGAAAGCGGGGGAUCGCAAGACCUCGCGCUAUUGGAGCGGCCGAUGUCAGAUUAGGUAGUUGGUGGGGUAAAGGCCUACCAAGCCUACGAUCUGUAGCUGGUCUGAGAGGACGACCAGCCACACUGGGACGGAGACACGGCCCAGACUCCUACGGGAGGCAGCAGUGGGGAAUUUUGGACAAUGGGCGCAAGCCUGAUCCAGCCAUGCCGCGUGCGGGAAGAAGGCCUUCGGGUUGUAAACCGCUUUUGUCAGGGAAGAAACGCUCUGGGCUAAUACCCCGGGGUAAUGACGGUACCUGAAGAAUAAGCACCGGCUAACUACGUGCCAGCCGCCGCCGUAAAAC
rnacentral:rRNA from 1 species